AAAUUGAAGAGUUUGAUCAUGGCUCAGAUUGAACGCUGGCGGCAGGCCUAACACAUGCAAGUCGAACGGUAACAGGAAGCAGCUUGCUGCUUCGCUGACGAGUGGCGGACGGGUGAGUAAUGUCUGGGAAGCUGCCUGAUGGAGGGGGAUAACUACUGGAAACGGUGGCUAAUACCGCAUAACGUCGCAAGACCAAAGAGGGGGACCUUCGGGCCUCUUGCCAUCAGAUGUGCCCAGAUG
rnacentral:rRNA from 1 species